rnacentral:lncRNA from 1 species
UUUUUUUUUUUUUUUUUUGUUGUCUCUUUUCAUUCUAUAGUUUUUAUACAUUUCUACAACUUUGCCCCAGAAGUUUACUUUCUGGUUACUUCUCAGUCACUUACCAGCUUCCACACAAUUAACUACCUGACUCUCUGUACUCUUGCUAAUAUUUCUGAGUGCACAUAGUUGAGUAUGAUUUUACAUGGGCUUGUCCUGCACUGUUAAUUUUUUUACAGUUAUGUCAAAUUCUGUGAUGUUUCUUUUUGGAAUGCUAGUUCUGUUUUCAUUGUCUUCUGUAAAAUGCUUCUCCACUUUGUUUUAUGUAUAUGUGUAAUUUGCCUGAAGUUAUAUCUGUGCUUUAUAUACAUGUAUUACCUGCCGGGGCCAGAAAAAGGCAUUGGAUCCCCUGUGACUGGAGUCACAAUCGAUUGUGUGGGGUCCUAGGAAUCAAAUCUGGGUCCUCUGCAAGAGUAGCCAGUGCUCUUAAACAUUCAGGUUUCUGUCCAAGUCCAUUUCCAAUACAAUCUUUACACUUUUUUCCAAGUGGUUUUCGUGCUAAGGUAGCCUAUAGGACUAUGCACUAUAGAGACACCCUGUUGUUCUUGAGCACACACGUGAGUAUAUGAGACCACUUUCCUACUCUAGGUUCUCUUCCUUGGCUGACACUCCGGUAACUUCUGUUCGUGGGACUCUUCCAGAGGCAUUAGCACUUGUAGCUUCUCAUCUUUGCUCCAAUUAGCCCUAUCCCUUAAAGAUAGUACUUUUGCUCAGACUAUGGAACUAUCCUCAUAGCAGUGAGACUAUGGAACCUGAAGAGGUCAUCUCCUGUAGCCAGGCAAUGGCCCUAGUGGAGUGAUAGAGACAACAACCCACCCAGAAAACUUUCAAUGGAAAAAAUCUAUCCUGUCUACAAGAAAGGCAGGGCUAAAGAUGGAGCAGAAAUUGAGGGAAUGACCUACACGGGUAGGUGCUGAUUAUUCCUAAUUGGUUCUUGAUUGUGUCAAUAAAGAAGGCUAGAGCUAAUUGCUUGGUGAAGGGUAAAGGUGGGACUUCUGGGUCCCAGAAGGAAUAGAAGAGAUGCAGGGAAGGAAGUUGCUUUUGGCAGCUAUACAUUAGAAGGAGCAGAAAGCCAGUCAUGUAAGGCCUUAGUGCACUUAGGGCCUGCAGCCUCUGCAGCAGGUGGGGGCCAAGGAGUUGUGUGGGAGCUAGCUGUUAGCUGAUAACAUUGGCAAAGGAUAGUCUUUGCCCAGCAAUUGUGUUAUCUGGUAAGUUUUAUAUUAAAAAAAAAAGAUACUGUAAUCUCAGGAAUAAAAUUCUCUUGAAUCUCUUCAAGUUCUUCCAUCUCAGGACCCAACCCUCCCCUAAAUGUUACAAUCAGGUCCACUGAUUUUGAAUAAGCCCUUCCUGGCCUCCUGCAUUUACUAUUUUUAAUAUUUUAUUUAAAAUCGUUUGGAUAAUUAUCAUCUUCUCAGUCCGUGUCUAAGCUUUAUGAACUGGGGUUCACUGCUUUGUGUCUGUGCAUUUCAGCAGAGUGUGUGCUGUGUGCUUUCAUGAACAUUGGAUUUCAUCUCAGAAGGAUAGGGGAAGAAGAGGUGCAGGGCCUCUUAGUCCACACACAAUAGAGAUGGAGACACAGCUCCUACCUGGGAUGGGAGGAAACUAGACUGGCCCUGAGGCCCUGCCGCACUCGCCCUUCACUGCAGCCUCUCCUCACUCUGUCACUGGGCACACUCCUUGGCCUGCCAGUGGAUCCCUGUCCUUUUGUCUAAAGUGUGUGCCUGUGAGACGGUGAUAUAAUCUCUUGUCUGGUGUUGCUGUGGAAAUUCAACACGAUAAAAGCUGCCUAUAAAGAGGGAAAUAGUGUCUGGCUCAUAAUGGGCCAACUGUAUUGUGAAGUAAUUACGUAGUUUGGGUCUUUGAUCUUACUCCAAAUAUCAUCUAUGUAUUUGCUCAUUCUAGAAUUAAUACAGUUAAUCUUUGACUUUGAUGGAACUUCCACACCUGGCAAUGGAAGGCAAACCAAAAGGAAUUAAAAAUAAAACUUGAGUUGUCCCAAGAUCAUGUCUAUCCCUAUAUAAAAGUGAGUUAAAGGUCCAUGAUUUUGCUGACCCCGGGGAAAAUGGCCUUUUUAGAGCUCAGUUAUUGCUUCUGCCUUUGAUUUCCCGAGCAAGUGCUGUAGACUCUCUUUGGUUUCUUGUGUUCACUGUUCACUUUUAAUAAGAAACAAGGAAAAUUAUGUCUUUUCCUCUCCAUUGAGUAAGAUAUAUGUUCUAGGCUGUUAAUUAGUUCUUUUUCUCCAUUAUGGAAAAGACAAUCUAAUUCUCUCUAAUUAAUAGAGAGAGUGCACAGUUGAAACUGAGUAUACUUAUAGUGAAACUGGACAGCAGGUUCACUAGAAAAAAAUAACUAAGAAAUGAAAUAAGCUCAAAAAUAAUUUCUUUUGAACCAGCUCCCAAUUUUGUCUGUUUAAGCAAAUUAUAGUAUUUUAUCUCAAUAAAAUAAUGUAGCUUAAAUAGAAAUUGAAAUUUUUUGCUAGUGUUGGACUCAUUAUCUAAAAUGCAAAAGUACAAAAUUGUGACAUACUAAUUAUAAGCAUUCUUUUCAGAUUGGGAAUGACAGAAAAUAAAAAGGUGAUAAAUGCUUAAAGUUCUCAUUUGACGUUAGGAAGUGCCUACUGAAAACCGGAAUUGUAUGCUUCAUUACUGACUUAUUACCAAGGACUUUUUCAGCACAGGAUAUUACUCAAUUCAUCUUUAUCCUAUAUUCAUGUUUAUAUAAAUUAUCUAUCUCCAUUACUAUACUAAUGUAUGUAUUCACAAUAUGCAAAACACACAUAAAGUGAUACAUUAUACUAUAACAUUUUAAAACUAUAUACAGGGGGCUGGAGUGAUGGCUCAGAGGUUAACAGGUGUAGCUGUCCUUCCAGAGGUCCUAAGUUCAAUUCCUAGCAACUGCAUGGUGGUUCAUAACCACAUAUAAUGAAAUCUGGUGCCUUCUGGCUGCAGGCAUACAUGCAGACAGACACUGCAUAUAAAACAAUAAGUCACACACACACAAUGUAAGAAUAAUGUUGAUAUUUGCUUCACAUCCUGGCAAGCAUGUGUGCAUACCUCUAGUAUCUAAGACUACCACCUCCACAUGCACUUCAUUUAAAUACAGAAAAUGGUAAGGUCCAUAUAACUUCUUUGUACAUGCCCACUCAAUAUUUUGUUCAUCUCCACUCCUUUAACCUCUCUUUGUUUCCCACCUCUCUCCUGCUACCCUUUCUAUCCUCAACUCUCACCUCUGCUUUCAUAAUGCACCUCACACACACUCACUCUCAUACACACAGACACUUUCAUUCUCUCUCUCUCUCUCUCUCUCUCUCUCUCUCUCUCUCUCUCUCACUCACACACACACACACACACACUCACUUU